GCCUCAGUCUCUGGUGAAACUGGACUUUCAAGUCUGUGCAGGUGAAGGUGUGUACGAGCGCCCGAGAUGGCAGAACAAGAGGUACAGAAGGUAAAACCAGAAACAAUGAAUGGAAGUUGCAAGAAGGUAAAUUUCAUCACAGUAAGAGCUAUCCAGAAGAUGAUUCCUAGAAAGGAACCAGUGUAAAUUCAGUCCAAAGAGCCCUAGGGGAAAGAAGAAGAAGAAGAAAAGAGCGACCUUUCAUUCAGCACAAUUGAAAUUAGCAAAGAGGGCUUUAUUUACACUGGACAUUAUCAACCUAAUUAAAAAGAUGUGAAUGAAUGUGAAUGAAUGAGAAAGGGGACCAGCUUCUCGCCUCUCCAUUUUCCUCCUCUACCACUUUCUUAAUAAAUGAUGCUUUGUUUAUACAUUGUCAAAAUCCCUCCCAGAAACAAACUAUUUUUUUUUAAGAAAAGAAAAAGGGAUGCUCUGGUUUUUCUUCAAAUUAAAUAUGUUUUUUACUUUUUCAU